AGAGUUUGAUCCUGGCUCAGGAUGAACGCUAGCGGCAGGCUUAACACAUGCAAGUCGAGGGGUAACAGGGUGCUUGCACCGCUGACGACCGGCGCACGGGUGCGUAACGCGUAUACAAUCUACCUUAUAGAGGGGGAUAGCCCAGAGAAAUUUGGAUUAAUACCCCAUAGUAUUAUAGAAUAGCAUUAUUUUAUAAUUAAACAUUUAUGGCUAUAAGAUGAGUAUGCGUUCUAUUAGUUAGUAGGUAAGGUAACGGCUUACCUAGACUUCGAUAGAUAGGGGUCCUGAGAGGGAGAUCCCCCACACUGGUACUGAGACACGGACCAGACUCCUACGGGAGGCAGCAGUGAGGAAUAUUGGACAAUGGGCGAGAGCCUGAUCCAGCCAUGCCGCGUGCAGGAAGACGGCCCUAUGGGUUGUAAACUGCUUUUAUACAGGAAGAAACACUCCCUUGCGAGGGAGCUUGACGGUACUGUACGAAUAAGGAUCGGCUAACUCCGUGCCAGCAGCCGCGGUAAUACGGAGGAUCCAAGCGUUAUCCGGAAUCAUUGGGUUUAAAGGGUCCGUAGGCGGGACAAUCAGUCAGCGGUGAAAGUCUGUGGCUCAACCAUAGAAUUGCCAUUGAUACUGUUGUUCUUGAAUACUUAUGAAGUGGUUGGAAUAUGUAGUGUAGCGGUGAAAUGCAUAGAUAUUACAUAGAACACCGAUUGCGAAGGCAGAUCACUAAUAAUUUAUUGACGCUGAUGGACGAAAGCGUAGGUAGCGAACAGGAUUAGAUACCCUGGUAGUCC
rnacentral:rRNA from 1 species